rnacentral:rRNA from 1 species
UACAGAGGUCUCAAGCGUUGUUCGGAUUCAUUGGGCGUAAAGGGUGCGUAGGUGGCGCUGUAAGUCGGGUGUGAAAUUUCGGAGCUUAACUCCGAAACUGCAUUCGAUACUGCGGUGCUUGAGGACUGGAGAGGAGACUGGAAUUCAUGGUGUAGCAGUGAAAUGCGUAGAUAUCGGAAGGAACACCGGUGGCGAAAGCGGCGCGCUGGACCUCUUCUGACGCUGAGGCGCGAAAGCCAGGGGAGCAAACGGG